UGGUGGUUUUUUGGUAAUUCUCAUGACAAAACAAAAAUUUAUUUUAAAAAAAUAUAUGAAAAAGACCCCCCAAAAAAAAUUGUUUUUCACCCCCUGGAAGUUGCUGAAAGCAGUUUUGAGGCAGAAAUCUGAAUUUGGGAAGCGUUUGGUGGUUCUUUGCUUGAUGAUUCAGAUUUCAGGUGGCCUCAGAGAAUAUUCCAGAGGUUUAAGUAGGAAUGCUGAGAAUUCCAAGGAAUUGCUUUCUCUAACCCCCCCUUGGCUAAGAUGAUGCUUCCAAGCAGCUUUUUCUUGGAAAAACCACUUUAAAAAUCAAUUUUUUUUUGUUGGUGGACGGUGCUGCAGCUGCUCCUUAAAUCCUUUCGGAGAGGGUGUGGACGUAGAGAUAUUUAAUAUAUUUCUAUUUAAAAAUCAAUGUUCCAUGGUUUGUUAUUUCGCAUCCAACAGGUGAAUUUGGAAUUUUAGGGGGAGAGGAUUAAACUGCUCGGGGGUGAAAAAUAGAAUUUUAAAAAAAAAAAAAAAAAAAACCCUGCAGCGCAUGAACCAAGGGGAAUAUUUAAAAAUAAUUAUAAAAAACACACAAAAGUUGUAUUUGUAGAUUGUUAUUAAAGUGCAAAUAACUGAAUUUUCAACACUGGUUUGGAGUCAGCUUUCAGGGCAUAAUGUGAUGAAAAGAUCAGCCUAUGCCCCCCCUUUUAAAGGAAAAUUAUCAGCAGGAGAAAUCAGGAUGUGUAAACCGCAAAGCCCAAAAAAAGGUAACCUAAAUGUCUGAUUUUAAUAUAGCACAUUUCUCUUUUCCAUAAACCUGUGACGUAAACUUUUUACCCAGCCGACCCUUCAGGUGUUAAUUUAAUGUAAAAAGGGGAAAAAAAAACCCACCAAAAAAAAAAAAAAAAUUUUAAAUAUAAACGUUUAAACCGACCCACGUGGCAUAAAUUAGCAAUAACUUUUAAUAAUGUGCCCUUGGCAGAUGCACUGGGAUGGAAUGUGGGCCAAAAUUUAAAUAUCCUGGAUUUUUUAAAGGAUAAAAGAUGUAAAAUGCACAUGAAUCCAAGCUAGUCCUGCUACUGCCAAAACAACAACAAAAAACCCAAAAAAACCCCAAAUUCUGCUCAGUUGUUUGAAAAUACCAAUUUUUAGCCCCCCCAGAAUUGCUGUUUCCUGUGAAAUGUCCAUAGCUCAGCUGAAGUUGCAUGUUUUUCCUUCAUGUGUAAUUGCAUGCAGGAAUCUCUUUCUUUCCUUUCCCUUUUUUUUUUUUUUAAUUUUUUAAUUUUUUUAUCUUUUAAUCUCUUUGUCAGGAUCCUCACGAUUUUUUUCUUUGAUUUGCAGGAAUUUUGGGGCUGUGAGUCAACGGGGUGAGGAGGAGGAGGAGGAGCAGGGCCAGCGCCAGCUGGGCCCAGCUUUUAGAUCAAGUGGAAAAGAUUUGCUAGAGAAUCAUCUCUUAGGAAGCAAUUUAUUCCCAAAUGGAUCUGGUGAUGCUGCCUUUGGAAUAACCCAGCUCGUGCCUUGUUUUUUUUUGUGGGAUGGUGAUGGGAAAGGAUGGAAAUGUGAAUAUAUUGAAACAACUGGAUGUGCUGGGAGUGUUUUUCAAGCAUUCCUUGGAUCAGACAGCUCCUUCCCCCCUUCCUUCCCUCUCCCAGCACUUUUCCAGGCAGGAUUUAACCCCGGAGGCUGCCAGAGCCCACCUGAGAUCCCAAAAUAACCCCCCAGCAUUGGAAUCAGCCAGACAUUCCAGGGUGAUGCAGGGAUUUGGGAGGGAUGGAGAUUCCUGGCAGUCUGAGUCCCCUCAGGAACCUGGAGAACCUUCCCUUUCCUGCUGGAAUUCUGCUCCCAAGUGCCAGGGAUCUUCUCCUCCCCCUGUUUUCCCAAAGGGCUCAUCCACAUUUGUCAUUUGUAGGAUUUUGGGCAAGACCCCUCCCAACCCAGAGAAAAUCCCCCGUUGUUCUUGCCUCUGUUCACAUCUCCUCUCUGGGAAUGUUUCCCAACAAAAUCCUGGUUUUGUCAGGAGAAACUUGGCUCUGGGAGCACCCUCCUGCUCCGUGGCUCAGCAUUCCCAUUUUCCCAAAAUGGGAACAGCUUCUCCAGCCUCCAGUGCAGCCCUGGGGUGCAGAACCCCAGCCUGGCCUUGCUCUGAGCUGCCACAAUCCUGGAUUUUGUCCUCGGUGGGCAGUGAAUCCCAGGAAAACCAACCCCCCAGCUGCAAUUCCAGAGGUGUCCCCAGCAGCUUUUCCUCAUCCCCUGCCCGUUCCUUCCCCCCGUUUUCCACGUUCUGUUUGGAUUAUUUCAAUAAAGCCCGUGGCUCCCA